AUUGAACGCUAGCGGCAGGCUUAACACAUGCAAGUCGAACGAGUGGCGGACGGGUGAGUAAUAUCUGGGAAACUGCCCGAUGGAGGGGGAUAACUACUGGAAAGGGUGGCUAAUACCGCAUACUAUCGGAUGUGCCCAGAUCGGAUUAGCUAGUUGGGGGGGUAAAGGCUCACCUAGGCGACGAUCCCUAGCUGGUCUGCGAGGAUGACCAGCCACACGGGAACUGAGACACGGCCCAGACUCCUACGGGAGGCAGCAGUGGGGAAUAUUGCACAAUGGGGGAAAGCCUGAUGCAGCCAUGCCGCGUGUAUGAAGAAGGCCUUCGGGUUGUAAAGUACUUUUGGCAGGGAAGCGUUACCCGCAGAAGAAGCACCGGCUAACUCCGUGCCAGCAGCCGCGGUAAUAC
rnacentral:rRNA from 1 species